CGCGUAGGCGGCGCGGUAAGUCUUCUGUGAAACCUCUGGGCUUAACUCAGAGCCUGCAGAGGAAACUGCCGUGCUGGAGUGUGGGAGAGGCGAGUGGAAUUCCCGGUGUAGCGGUGAAUGCGUAGAUAUCGGGAGGAACACCAGUGGCGAAGGCGGCUCGCUGGACCACAACUGACGCUGAGGCGCGAAAGCUAGGGGAGCAAACAGGAUUAGAUACCCUGGUAGUCCUAGCCUUAAACGAUGAAUGCUUGGUGUGAUCGGUAUCCAAUCCGAUUGUGCCGCAGCUAACGCGAUAAGCAUUCCGCCUGGGGAGUACGGUCGCAAGGCUGAA
rnacentral:rRNA from 1 species